AUUGAACGCUGGCGGCAUGCCUAACACAUGCAAGUCGAACGGUAACGCGAAGAGCUUGCUCUUUGGCGACGAGUGGCGGACGGGUGAGUAAUACUUAGGAAUCUGCCCAUUAGUGGGGGACAACUCGAGGAAACUCGAGCUAAUACCGCAUACGCCCUACGGGGGAAAGCGGGGGAUCUUCGGACCUCGCGCUAAUGGAUGAGCCUAAGUCGGAUUAGCUUGUUGGUGAGGUAAAGGCUCACCAAGGCGACGAUCCGUAGCUGGUCUGAGAGGACGAUCAGCCACACUGGGACUGAGACACGGCCCAGACUCCUACGGGAGGCAGCAGUGGGGAAUAUUGGACAAUGGGCGAAAGCCUGAUCCAGCAAUGCCGCGUGUGUGAAGAAGGC
rnacentral:rRNA from 1 species